rnacentral:lncRNA from 1 species
AAAUCGAAAGGAUUAUUCAGAUGAUAAAAAAAUAUAGAAUCCGGAUAUAAAUUUGUGGAUUUGAGGUGGAAGGUACUAGAAUAGCAAUGUGUUCAAGACAAACACAGCUUUGGAAAACCGAAAUCUCUUCUGGAUCAUUUUAGAAAGUACUUUACGGAAGAGAAUGCUCCAAAAAACAUAACAUGGUACACCCUUUUUACCGCCAGAGCUAAUCAUCUAUUGUUUGAUAUGGAAGAUGUACUUAUCAAACUUUCAUGUGAGCAAACACUAAAGACAAGAUUUUGAUAAAAUACUUUAAGCAGCUUUAGACUUACUUUUACCAUUUGGAUUAACUUAUUUAUGUGAGAAGACCUUUUUGUAUUAACUUACAUCACAAAAAAAAUACAGAUCGCGGCUUAGCGUUGAGAAUGAUCUUGGAGUUGCUGUAUCAAUAAUUAAACAGAGUUUUUCACAAUGCAUAGUGACCAUCUGUCACAUUAAUAAAAUGUCACAUCUAUAAACCUA